GAUAAAAUUAUUUUUUUACAUGCAAGAGGGAAAAAUAUGGCUCAAAUUGUCAAGCUUGUUAAUGUUAUCAUUAUUUUUCUUUCACUAUUUCUUGUUGCAAUGAACGUUGAAGGUAAAUCAUUUAUUUAUCAUCCUUAAAUAUAAUUUUUUUCUUUACUUCUUAUACAAUACUUUUUUUUUCAUUUUAUUUACGUUCUUUAAUUCGAAUUUUUACAGGUAUUCGUCGACGUAAAAAAUGUUAUAAUGAUUUUGAUUGUCCAAGAACUAUGUGCCCAUCAUAUUUGCUAGUUAAGUGUAUAGUAUAUAAUUGUAAAUGUUGUGUUAUAGGAACGUACGAAGAUUAAAAUCCCACAUGAUUCCGUAAAUGCCCAAAGAGCAUACAACACAUAAUAUAAUUAUAUUUAGUUUUUAGUUUUUUUCCUUUUUCUAGUGUCAACAAUUUAUAGUUAUGGCUUUGUAAUUUAAGAUGAUGGUUAUGAAAUAAAAUAAAGCAGUAAAGAAUACUAUUUAUAAAGGUG
rnacentral:lncRNA from 1 species